UGGAGGGCAAGUCUGGUGCCAGCAGCCGCGGUAAUUCCAGCUCCAAUAGCGUAUAUUAAAGUUGUUGCAGUUAAAAAGCUCGUAGUUGAAUUUCGGGGUUAGUAGGUUGGUCAUGCCCCUGGUAUGUACUGGUCUCACUGAUUCCUCCUUCCUGAUGAGCCGUAAUGCCAUUAAUUUGGUGUUGCGGGGAAUUUGGACUGUUACUUUGAAAAAAUUAGAGUGUUUAAAGCAAGCUAACGCUUGAAUACAUUAGCAUGGAAUAAUGAAAUAGGACGUUCGAUCCUAUUUUGUUGGUUUCUAGGAUUGACGUACUGAUUAAUAGGGAUAGUUGGGGGCAUUAGUAUUCAAUUGUCAGAGGUGAAAUUCUUGGAUUUAUUGAAGACUAACUACUGCGAAAGCAUUUGCCAAGGAUGUUUUCAUUAAUCAAGAACGAAAGUUAGGGGAUCGAAGACGAUCAGAUACCGUCGUAGUCUUAACCAUAAACUAUGCCGACUAGGGAUGGGAUGAUGUUAAUUUUUUAAUGACUCAUUCGGCGCCUUACGGGAAAC
rnacentral:rRNA from 1 species